UGCUUCAACAACACGCAUUGUGUUGGAAUCGGGGCGAUACAGAGCAGAUUAGCUUGGCCCCUGCACGAGGCGGGCAUGCACAUUCCUGAAGUGUUCUGUAUUUUU